UACAUGUGCAGAGAUCAUCAUCAC
rnacentral:siRNA from 1 species